AUGCGUGGCAAUUCUGCAGCCCGGAUGGAUCUCGUUGGAACCGAGUCUUUUAUGAUAAUUUUUCUUCCUCUUUUUGUUACGAAUUUUGUGAUUUCUAUUUAUUGGUUGUUGCCCUGCAAUGAGAAAAAAAAGAAACAAAACAGAAUAUUGUUGUUAUUGAAAAUCAUUCUUUUCUUUUCUACCAGAUUUGAAAUUGUUGUGUUUUGA